AAGAUCUGAGUCUCGAGAACCCUUCAUAUUCAUAUUCCUGCGGGGUGGAGAUAUGUCAGCAUUCGAGGCGAUAGAUCUUGAAGGCCUUCUACCCGGUUCAGGUGAUGGAGAAUGGUAUCGUCUUCUCCGAGGAGGAGAAAGGUCACUGCUCUUCCUUUUUACAUCUGAGACAGGUGAACCAUGUAAAUCCCUUUUCCUGCGUGGUGGAGAAAAAUCAGCGUCUACCUCCACAGAAUCUGAACGCCUUCUGCUAGAUUCACGUGAUGGAGAAUGAACAUGUCUCCUGCGAGGAGGAGAUAGAUCUUCACUCUUGGGGCCUUUAUUGUCAGGUUCAGGAGAAGGUGAAUCAUUCCUGGCUUUUCUUUUGCGCGGUGGUGACAUAUCAGUAUCCAAACUGAUGGCAUGUUUUCUGUUAGGUUCAGGAGAAGGCGAGUCUUUCCUGGCUCCUCUUUUGCGAGGUGGUGACAUAUCAGAAUCCAAACUAGUGGCAUGUUUUCUGUUAGGUUCAGGUGAAGGCGUAUUGUGACGUUUUCUCCGGCGUGGUGGUGACAUAUCUGUUUCAACUCUUUCUGCAACCUCACGUCUAGGCCCAGGCUCAGGAGAUGGCGAGUCAUUACGAGUUCUUUGUCUACGUGGAGGAGAAAU
rnacentral:lncRNA from 1 species